UACGAAGGGGGCUAGCGUUGCUCGGAAUCACUGGGCGUAAAGGGUGCGUAGGCGGGUCUUUAAGUCAGGGGUGAAAUCCUGGAGCUCAACUCCAGAACUGCCUUUGAUACUGAAGAUCUUGAGUUCGGGAGAGGUGAGUGGAACUGCGAGUGUAGAGGUGAAAUUCGUAGAUAUUCGCAAGAACACCAGUGGCGAAGGCGGCUCACUGGCCCGUAACUGACGCUGAGGCACGAAAGCGUGGGGAGCGAACAGG
rnacentral:rRNA from 1 species